CCAGUCAGUGGUUGUAGACGCGAAACCUUGCGAUCUACCCUUGAGCAGGAUGAAGGUUGGGUAACACCAACUGGAGGUCCGAACGAAUAAGCGUUGAAAAGCUUCUCGAUGACUUGAGGGUAGGGGUGAAAGGCUAAUCAAGCUGGGAAAUAGCUCGUACUCCCCGAAAUGCCUUUAGGGGCAGCGUUGUAAUAAAGAGUCUACUGGAGGUAGAGCUACUGAUUGGAUGCGGGGGCUUCACCGCCUACCAAAUCCUGACAAACUCCGAAUGCCAGUAGUAUGAUUUACAGCAGUGAGCGGCCGGGUGCUAAUGUCCGGUCACAAAAGAGGAACAACUCAGACCAGCAACUAAGGUCCCCAAGAAUAUGCUAAGUUGAUCUAACGAUGUUUUGUUGCAGAGACAGCUAGGAUGUUAGCUUGGAAGCAGCUAUUCAUUCAAAGAGUGCGUAACAGCUCACUAGUCGAGCGACAGAGCGUGGAUAAUAAACGGGCAUCAAGCAUAUCACCGAAGUUCUGGACGCGAAAGCGUGGUAGGGGAGCAUUCCAUCGACGUUGAAGCCGAUCCGUGAGGAUUGGUGGAGUUUAUGGAAAAGCAAAUGUAGGCAUAAGUAACGAUAAUGCGGGAGAGUAACCCGCACACCGCAAGACCAAGGUUUCCUGAUCAACGCUAAUCGGAUCAGGGUUAGUCGGGUCCUAAGGGUAAGCCGAACGGUGAUCUCGAUGGACAAUCGGUUAAUAUUCCGAUACUAACAUACACCUCGAUGGAGAGACGAAGGAACGUAAGUGUCGCCACCUGACGGAAUAGGUGGUUAAAGGGCGUAG
rnacentral:rRNA from 1 species